rnacentral:rRNA from 1 species
GAUCUCCUACGGGAGGCAGCAGUGGGGAAUCUUAGACAAUGGGGGCAACCCUGAUCUAGCCAUGCCGCGUGAGUGACGAAGGCCUUAGGGUCGUAAAGCUCUUUCGCUGGGGAAGAUAAUGACGGUACCCAGUAAAGAAACCCCGGCUAACUCCGUGCCAGCAGCCGCGGUAAUACGGAGGGGGUUAGCGUUGUUCGGAAUUACUGGGCGUAAAGCGCGCGUAGGCGGAUUGGAAAGUUGGGGGUGAAAUCCCGGGGCUCAACCCCGGAACUGCCUCCAAAACUAUCAGUCUAGAGUUCGAGAGAGGUGAGUGGAAUUCCGAGUGUAGAGGUGAAAUUCGUAGAUAUUCGGAGGAACACCAGUGGCGAAAGCGGCA